UGAGUUUGGUGGGGAUUGUGACCAGAAGAUUUUGAAAAUUAAAUAUUACUGAAGAUUUCGACUUCCACUGUUAAAUGUACAAGAUACAUGAAAUAUUAAAGAAAAUGUGUAACUUUUUGUGUAAAUACAUCUUGUCUUGUUUUCAUUCAAAAACAUUUCACUUUUGGGGUUGCGUGUCAGAUUUGGCAGUAUAAAUUCUGGCUAUAUUUUUUGUUGUUAGAUUUAUUUGGCUGUUAAGUAUUGCGAUAUGACUAAACAUACUGUAUACCUGAUGAUCAUCUGUAAAGUUAGAGUAUAUCUUUUUGCUUUCUUUGGAGUUAGUGUUAUUCCAGGAUAUUUUACUUAAUCUAAAAGUUAAUUUAUGUUGCUCAUAUAUUACUCAAGUAUUUAAAUUUAGAGAGAAUGCCGCUCUGUUUAAAGCAAUGUGUAAAGAUGAGUUUUUUUAAGCAUGGAAUUUAGGGUUGGGGUACAAUUUGUUUCUAUUAAGCAAGUACCAGUUUACCAAUACAUGAGUAACUGAAGUGUAACUGUUAAAUGCUUGUAUACUAGUUUUUCUUUCUGAUUGUCAGUGAUUUAUAAGCUAUAAAUGACCAAGGUCCUCAGACUGCUUUUAGCAUCUGCAACUUAAAAAAAUGGGAGUUAGAAAAAGAACAAAUGCUAAAUAGAGUAACAGUUAAAUGUAUGUGUACACUCUUCCCAAAUGCCAAGAGUGCAGCGGUGGGGUGAGAUUCAGAUAUUCAUUUAUUUCUAAGUCUGUAGUUAACAUUUAUGUUCCCUACUCCCUACGUAAGCCAGACUUUGGCAACAGUGAUAGUUGAUUCCAGGCUUAUUUGACUUAAAGUCACUGAAGUGGAAACUAAGAAGUGGCAGUUAGUGUUUUACCCAGCAUUUCUGCCUUCUCUCUUUUCUUCAUGUGUUUUUGUCUCUAGCCUAUGUGUAUUUGUGUAGAAUAAUGUGGGAUACCUGAAUAAUAGAUUUAAAAGGACCAAGUGGUAAAAUUGGGCCCAAGCUGAAGUACAGGCAAACUUGAUGUUUGAAAGAUAAGUUUUGAGAAAUGUCAUUGUAUUUUGGAGUAAAAGAGGCUAUCUUAGUAAUAAGAAAUAAACUUCCAUAACACUAGGUUAGACCACCCAAUAAAUCUAGAAAUCAGCUUUUAAAAAUAUUGUCUGAAGUCUAACAAAAGUUUUCACCUCUAAUGUGUUCUUUAAGAAAUUUAAGGAACUUAGCCUUGGAUUCCUGAAUAGAAAGGUAAGAAUUCUAUCAUUCUGGAGUUGAUGAAAACAUAAAUUUUCAGGAUGUGAAAUGAACAGUGAUUUAUAAAAUGGAAAUCAAAUUGUACAUUAGCAGAGUUCUUAAGCUUUUUGAAUUGAAGGAGACCUAAUAAUUGUGUCUUUUUGGUUAUUUAGUGACAAACGUGGCUUUCAAACUAUGCUUAAAAAGUUCCGGCUGGACACGGUGGCUCACACCUAUAAUCCUAGCACUUGGGGAGGCUGAGGCAGGAGAAUCACCUGAACCUGGGAGGUGGAGGUUUCAGUGAGCUGAGAUCCUGCCACUGCACUCCAGCCUGGGCGCAAGACCAAGACUUAAACGCAAAAAAAAAAAAAAAAAAAAAAAAAAA
rnacentral:lncRNA from 1 species